rnacentral:lncRNA from 8 species
UUUAUUAAAACUGUCCUGCGUUGAGGUGCACCGUGUAUUCUAUAUUAUUUCUGUUCUUUGGAAAGGUUUGAUCAGUCGUUCUGAUUUUGUGACAUGUUUAUUCUUCUCAUUUGUUAAGGUUCAGGGAUGAAUUUGAUGGACAUAUUCAGCAAGCAGUGGGCGGAGUCCAGCAAGCAGUGGGCGGAGUCCAGCAAGCAGUGGCCGGAGUCCAGCAAGCAGUGGGCGGAGUCCAGCAAGCAGUGGGCGGAGGUCACUGCCCCUAACCUGGAGGCGAGACUGUUCCAUCAUCAGGUGUUUUGUAGCAAAACCUCUGUUAUAAACGUCUCAUCAGCGGUGUCUCCAGUUCCAGGAAGUCGAGUGCUGGCCACCGGAGGGGCUUCUUCUAACAAGGACUUUCUGCAGGUGCUAUCUGACAUAUUCAAUGCUCCUGUGAACACCAUUGACGUGGCCAACUCUGCCUGGCUAGGCUGUCAUGAUGGAAUGAUUGUGAUGACUGUGGACUACAGGACUACAGGACUACAGGACUACAGGAAAAGGAGGAUGGAGCACGCCACCAUUCUCAUCCACGGGGCUGUAGUGGAGCAGGUUGAGAGCUUCAAGUUCCUUGGUGUCCACAUCACCAACAAACUAGAAUGGUCCAAACACACCAAGACAGUCGUGAAGAGGGCACGACAAAUCCUUUUCUCCCCCAGGAAACUAAAAAGAUUUGGCAUGGGUCCUGAGAUCCUCAAAAGGUUCUACAGCUGCAACAUCGAGAGCAUCCUGACUGCUCGGCCUCCGACCACAAGGCACUACAGAGGGUAGUGCGUACGGCCCAGUACAUCACUGGGGCUAAGCUGCCUGCCAUCCAGGACCUCUACACCAGCCUGUGUCAGAGGAAGGCCCUAAAAAUGGUCAAAGUCCCCAGUCACCCCAGUCAUAGACUGUUCUCUCUACUACCGCAUGGCAAGCGGUACCGGAGUGCCAAGUCUAGGACAAAAAUACUUCUCAACAGUUUUUAUCCCCAAGCCAUAAGACUCCUGAACCGGUACUCAAAUGGCUACCCGGACUAUUUGCAUUGUGUGCCCCCCCACCCCCCAACCCCUCUUUUACGCUGCUGCUACUCUCUGUUUAUCAUAUAUGCAUAGUCACUUUAACUAUACAAUCAUGUACAUACUACCUCAAUUAGCCUGACCAAACGGUGCCCCUGCACGUUGGCUACCCGGGCUAUCUGCAUUGUAUCCCGCCACCCACCACCCGCCAACCCCUCUUUUACGCUACUGCUACUCUGUUUAUCAUACAUGCAUAGUCACUUUAACCAUAUCUACAUGUACAUACUACCUCAAUCAACCCGACUAACCGGUAUCUGUAUAUAGCCUUGCUACUGUUAUUUUUCCCUGUCUUUUUACUGUUGUUUUUAUUUCUAUACUCUAUACCUUUUUUGAGAAAUUGCACUGUUGGUUAGAGCCUGUAAGUAAGCAUUUCACUGUAAGGUCUACACCUGUUGUAUUCGGCGCACGUGACAAAUAAACUUUGAUUUGAUUU